rnacentral:rRNA from 1 species
AGAUUCCCCCAGUAGCGGCGAGCGAACGGGGAGGAGCCCAGAGCCUGAAUCAGUGUGUGUGUUAGUGGAAGCGUCUGGAAAGGCGUGCGAUACAGGGUGACAGCCCCGUACACAAAAAUGCACAUAUUGUGAGCUCGAUGAGUAGGGCGGGACACGUGGUAUCCUGUCUGAAUAUGGGGGGACCAUCCUCCAAGGCUAAAUACUCCUGACUGACCGAUAGUGAACCAGUACCGUGAGGGAAAGGCGAAAAGAACCCCGGCGAGGGGAGUGAAAAAGAACCUGAAACCGUGUACGUACAAGCAGUGGGAGCCUCUUAAUGGGGUGACUGCGUACCUUUUGUAUAAUGGGUCAGCGACUUAUAUUCUGUAGCAAGGUUAACCGAAUAGGGGAGCCGAAGGGAAACCGAGUCUUAACUGGGCGUUAAGUUGCAGGGUAUAGACCCGAAACCCGGUGAUCUAGCCAUGGGCAGGUUGAAGGUUGGGUAACACUAACUGGAGGACCGAACCGACUAAUGUUGAAAAAUUAGCGGAUGACUUGUGGCUGGGGGUGAAAGGCCAAUCAAACCGGGAGAUAGCUGGUUCUCCCCGAAAGCUAUUUAGGUAGCGCCUCGUGAAUUCAUCUCCGGGGGUAGAGCACUGUUUCGGCAAGGGGGUCAUCCCGACUUACCAACCCGAUGCAAACUGCGAAUACCGGAGAAUGUUAUCACGGGAGACACACGGCGGGUGCUAACGUCCGUCGUGAAGAGGGAAACAACCCAGACCGCCAGCUAAGGUCCCAAAGUCAUGGUUAAGUGGGAAACGAUGUGGGAAGGCCCAGACAGCCAGGAUGUUGGCUUAGAAGCAGCCAUCAUUUAAAGAAAGCGUAAUAGCUCACUGGUCGAGUCGGCCUGCGCGGAAGAUGUAACGGGGCUAAACCAUGCACCGAAGCUGCGGCAGCGACACUAUGUGUUGUUGGGUAGGGGAGCGUUCUGUAAGCCUGUGAAGGUGGCCUGUGAGGGUUGCUGGAGGUAUCAGAAGUGCGAAUGCUGACAUAAGUAACGAUAAAGCGGGUGAAAAGCCCGCUCGCCGGAAGACCAAGGGUUCCUGUCCAACGUUAAUCGGGGCAGGGUGAGUCGACCCCUAAGGCGAGGCCGAAAGGCGUAGUCGAUGGGAAACAGGUUAAUAUUCCUGUACUUGGUGUUACUGCGAAGGGGGGACGGAGAAGGCUAUGUUGGCCGGGCGACGGUUGUCCCGGUUUAAGCGUGUAGGCUGGUUUUCCAGGCAAAUCCGGAAAACCAAGGCUGAGGCGUGAUGA